GCAGAGAGUCGCAACAAGGUUUGAACCAGCACUGACAUGUGCCAGUGGGAGCCCACACACUGGCCUGGUUCUCAGGUCUCGCCACUCCUCGAUGGGCUGGCCGAGGUCCACGGUGUUCAUAGGCACCUUUACCUCUCCGAUGAUGUCGUGCUUGGAGAAGCGGUCAAAGUCGUAGAUGGCCAUCACCAGGGUUUUGCCCCCCAGCUCCUGGAGGAAGACUUUGACAUAAGGAUCUGAGGUGCCUCCCAUGUCUAGGGCAGGCAGUUCAGCAGCCUGUAGGACGCCCACGCAGCACUUCUUGCAGAUGCAGAAGCAGCAGGUGAGGAUCAGGAGGCCAGCGACCAC